rnacentral:rRNA from 1 species
UACGUAGGGGGCUAGCGUUGUCCGGAAUCAUUGGGCGUAAAGAGCGUGUAGGCGGCCCGGUAAGUCCGCUGUGAAAGUCGGGGGCUCAACCCUCGAAUGCCGGUGGAUACUGUCGGGCUAGAGUGCGGAAGAGGCGAGUGGAAUUCCUGGUGUAGCGGUGAAAUGCGCAGAUAUCAGGAGGAACACCAAUUGCGAAGGCAGCUCGCUGGGACGUAACUGACGCUGAGACGCGAAAGCGUGGGAGC